rnacentral:rRNA from 1 species
GACGAACGCUGGCGGCGUGCUUAAUACAUGCAAGUCGAGCGAGGUUACUGUUUUGGAUCCCUUCGGGGUGAAGAAGCUUUAACCUAGCGGCGGACGGGUGAGUAACACGUGAGCAACCUGCCCCAGACUCUGGGAUAACAGUUGGAAACAGCUGCUAAUACCGGAUACGAGACGGAGAGGCAUCUCUACCGUCUGGAAAGUUUUCGGUCUGGGAUGGACUCGCGGCCUAUCAGCUAGUUGGUGAGGUAAUGGCUCACCAAGGCGACGACGGGUAGCCGGCCUGAGAGGGCGACCGGCCACACUGGGACUGAGACACGGCCCAGACUCCUACGGGAGGCAGCAGUGGGGAAUAUUGCACAAUGGGCGAAAGCCUGAUGCAGCGACGCCGCGUGAGGGAUGACGGCCUUCGGGUUGUAAACCUCUUUCAGCAGGGAAGAAGCGAAAGUGACGGUACCUGCAGAAGAAGCACCGGCUAACUACGUG